GUCCACGCCGUAAACGAUGUCAACUAGCCGUUGGCCCUUUCUCAAGGGCAAGUGGCGCAGCUAACGCAUUAAGUUGACCGCCUGGGGAGUACGGCCGCAAGGUUAAAACUCAAAUGAAUUGACGGGGGCCCCGCACAAGCGGUGGAGCAUGUGGUUUAAUUCGAUGCAACGCGAAGAACCUUACCUACCCUUGACAUCCAGAGAAUCUGUUAGAGAUAGUAGAGUGCCUUCGGGAGCUCUGAGACAGGUGCUGCAUGGCUGUCGU
rnacentral:rRNA from 1 species